rnacentral:rRNA from 1 species
AUGAACGUUGGCGGCGUGGAUUAGGCAUGCAAGUCGAGCGAGAACCCGCAAGGGGGACAGCGGCGAACGGGGUAGGACAACGUAGGUAACGUACCCUCGGGGCGAGGACAGCCACGGGAAACUGUGGGUAAUACUCGAUAAUGUUCCCAAUCUUGAUUGGAGGGGAACCAAUGGGUGUGAUUCCACCCGGGGAGCGGCUUACGCAGUAUCAGCUUGUUGGUGAGGUAACGGCUCACCAAGGCUAUGACGCUUAGGGGAUGUGAGAGCAUGAUCCCCACCACUGGCACUGAGACACUGGCCAGACACCUACGGGUGGCUGCAGUCGAGAAUCUUCGGCAAUGGACGCAAGUCUGACCGAGCGACGCCGCGUGCGGGAUGAAGGCCCUCGGGUUGUAAACCGCUGUCAGAGGGGAUGAAGUGUACGGGAGUUAUCUCCUGUAUUUGACAGAGCCUCAGAGGAAGCACGGGCUAAGUUCGUGCC